GCUUAAACAACUCAAAAGACAGCCACGCGCUCAUUAUAGCUCUCUUAUAGUUUUAGAAUCUGAGUGAGUUACUGUUUUGAAUAUCUAAAAUCUUCAAAUUAAGUUUUUAUGAUUUUAAGUUAAAUUAGACUUAAGAAUAUGUGUAAGAAUUGAGAAUAAAUAUUUACUUUUUAUUUUAGAAAUGAACACACAAGAAAAUUUAAACGACGAUGAUGGUGACUUUUUUAGAAAAAAAUUAGAAGAUUUACAAAAGUCCAUAGG
rnacentral:lncRNA from 1 species